CCGGCCAAAGAAGAACAAAGGAGCAAAGGAAAGAAUACAAACCUUAGGUGGGAAAAUUGAAGAAAAAGUGUGAGAUUUCAAGGGAUUAAGCUAAUAAAGGUAAAUUUUUGUGAUUUUAUCUAGUGAUUUACACUACCCAUGCUUUCUUUUUCAUUUUCCAUGCUUAGUACUCAAGUUUUCAUGAUGAACCCACGCUGGCCUAAUUUGAGACGAGAGGUUUUGAGCAUUGAUUUUGCUAGAAUUCAAGCUAAUUAAGUGUUUUUGGUUGUUUGGUAAUGGAAAGUAUGAAAAUCUAGCAAGGAAUCACUUUGUUGUUCACAAACCCACAAAAGGCCAAAUUUUCUAGGGAGGAUAUUGAGGCUGAAAUUGAUGAUAUUUCAUGAUAUUUUGGUAGUAUUUAAUGAUUGGUGAGGCUAGAAAUUUAAUGGGAAAUUUUGGCAUGAAAAUUUGAAUUUUUACCUAAUGUAUAGACAUGUGUGAUUUAUGGUUCGGACUGAUAAAUUGAAUCAUAUUCACAGUCAUUGAGGUAUUUUAAGUAUAAUUGGAGUGUGAAAAGUGAAAGAAAUCGAUUUGGAGUUAAAUUGGAGGUUUUAGCCAAUUACACUAAGAAUAGUGCGAAUUAGGUCGAAUACCGAAUUUAAAUGGCUAUUCUGACAUUUUGCAUCACAUUUCGUGCAUUCAUAUAGAUUUAUAGAGCCUGAAAUAGUUUAUGAUAAAUUGACACAAUUUAUUGAAAUUCGUGUCACGUAUGAUGUAUAGGUGGUGAGCCCUCUAACAAGGGUAAAGAGAUUGUGCCCGAAGAUUGGGAAUAGGAGUAUAUCGAACUCCUAGUACUGUGAGUAACCUUACUAUUGUCUUAAUUAUCUAAAGUGGUUUUUUUCUGAUUUUGUGAAUUUCAUGAAAAAUGAAUUAAAUGAUUAAUUUUUUGAUUUUAUAAACCAAAUGUGAUUUAAUGAAAUGAUUUCAUAAAAUUGUUUUAAAAUUGAAUAAUGGCUUUGAAAAUAGAGUAAUUGGAGACCAUUUCGUGUGUUGUAAAUUCAUGGUUUGAAUCGAAUGGCUUAUGACAAUAUUUGCAUUAAUGGCUAAAUUGGUAUUUGUGUUGAAAUAUAUGAACUGUGUAUUUAGCCUUGAAAGGCUGUGAAUUAUAAUAAUUGUCAUAUCAUCUUAUUGAAUUUUAUUGAUUAGUGGGAUAAUUAUUAGCUUACUGCAGUGGGCGGGUUUUCGUGGACCAGCCUAUUAGAGGGGCAUAGUAAACCCCGUUUUAUUUUACCUCAAUAUGAGAGGUGCGGGUGGAUAACUCCUGAGGUUAACACUUUUAGAGUUCACAUCACGUCAAACCACCACGUGAGGGGGAACUCAGCCAACGCCAAGGAACGGUUAUGUUUUCAAAAUAAAAACAUGAUUUAUGCGUACAUAACUUUUUAACAGCCUUGGCGGACUCGGUUAGGAUAGCCCUUGAUCAAGGCAUCCCUGAUAACUGGGUAUGAGAAUGAUUUUGGCACGAGCCAAAGUUUUAAGAAAUUCAUAAGCCAUAUUGAUUACUCGAUUUAUAUGAAUCGAUUUUAUUUGGUUGAAAUGAGUUGAAAGGUAAUGAAUUACAGUAUACUAAAUUAUUUUAUCUGUCUCCAUUUACUCGGCUUUAGAUAUUUUAGAUGGUAUUUGUUUACUCAUUGGGAUUAUAUAAUCUCACCACCUUAUUUUCUACCCAUUUCAGGCUCAGUAUAGGCUGUAGAUAGCUGAUAUUAUCGAGGGCUACAAUUGGACUUGCAUCCUCAAAAAACUGUAGGUUUACUGCCUUUAAUGCUUUUGGUUGUUCGUGGAUCCACUUGUUACUAUAAAUUAAAUUAAAUACUUUGGCUUACUAUAUUACAAUAUAUAUGAAUUUAUUUUGCUUUUACGCUGUAAAAAUUAUUUAUGCAGUGUUAUAAAAAUAUUAUUUUAUGAGAAAAUUAAAUAUUUUAUUCAACCUUUUUAUUUUAUUCUAAUAGUCAUAAUUUCAUUUUAAACGAAUGUUUUAGACAUCCAAAUUUAUUUUUGAUUAUGAAUUAUGUGUUUUGUACUUGCAUACUACAUUUUUAGUGGAUUUCGAGAUUAUUGAGAAAAAAUAACCAAAAUGCCCUUGUGAGAAAUAAAUAUUUUUCUAUUGUUUUGAGUUGGAAAAAUGUUUAUAAUCUCUCAAAAUAUAAUUUUAGUGAAUAAUAUUCACAGGGAAAGCGAGAAAAACUGAUGUUAGGCCUUGCGAGGUUUCGAUUGACAUUCUGGGUAAUGAAUGUCUAUCGGGACGUCGCGACGAUUGUCACGGGCUGGAGGGGAGUUCCGAGUCGUGACACAAGAAAAGUCCAUUUAUAGUCACCCAUGCCUUCAAAAGCCUUGAUACUCACUUUAAGUGAUUUUAUAAAUUUAAAAAUGAUUUUAAAUUGAAUUUUUUUUAUUUCAUUAAAAUAGAUCGUAAUUUGAUGUUUACGUUGGCAAUUGUGAAUUGAAAGCCAUCUAUUGAUAAGAAAAGUCCAUUUGUAGUACUUUGCCUUGGAAAGCCUAAUUACUCGCUUUAAACGGUUUUAUAAUCGUAUAAAUGAUUUGAAGUUGAAUUUCUUUUCAUUUUUGGUUCAAACAGAACAUAAUUGGAUGUUUGCCUUGAGAAACAUGAAGCAAAAGCCAUCCAUUGGCAUGAAAUCACUCAUGCCUUCGAAAGCCUUGUUAGUCGCUUUAAAUGGUUUUAUAAUCUUAUAAAUGAUUUUAAGUUAAAUUUUUUUUUCAUUUUUGGUUAAAAUAGAUCAUAGUUAGAUGUUCGCUUUAAGAAAUGCGAGGCAAAAGUCAUUCACUGAUAAGGAAAGUCCAUUUAUAGUCACUCAUGCCUUUGAGAGCCUUAUUACUUGCUUUAAAUGGUUUCACAAUCUCAUAAAUGACUUUAAGUUGAAUUUUUUUUUCAUUUUUGGUUAAAACAGAUCAUAAUUGAAUGUUUGCCUUGGGAAACGUGAAGUAAAAGCCAUCCAUUGACAAGAAAAGUCCAUUUACAGUCACUCGUGCAUUCGAAAGCCUAGUUCCUCACUUUAAAUGGUUUUACAAUUUGAUUAAUGAUUUUAAGUUGAAUUGUUUGUUCAUUUUGGUUAAAAUAGAUCAUAAUUGGAUGUUUGCCUUGGGAAACAUAAAGUGAAAGCCACCCAUUGACAGUUAAAGUCCAUUUAUGGUCACUCAUGCCUUCAAAUGAGUAGUUACUCACUUUAAAUGGAUUUAAAAUCUAACAAAUUAUUGUAAGUUGAAUCUUUUUCUCAUUCUUAGUUAAAAUAGAUCAUAAUUCGAUGUCUGUGUAUGGGAAACGUGGCACGAAAGCCAUCCAUUGACAAGAAAAGUCCAUUUAUAGUCACUCAUGCCUUGGG
rnacentral:lncRNA from 1 species